UACGUACGAGGCGAGCGUUAUCCGGAAUUACUGGGCGUAAAGCGCACGCAGGCGGUUCGCCAAGUUUGGUGUGACAGUUGUCGGCUCAACCGACAAAGGACUUCCAAAACUGGUGAACUUGAGGACGAGAGAGGAACAUGGAACUCCAGGUGUAGUAGUGAAAUGCGUAGAUAUCUGGAAGAACACCAAUGGCGAAGGCAAUGUUCUGGCUCGUUUCUGACGCUCAGGUGCGAAAGCCAGGGGAGCGAACGGG
rnacentral:rRNA from 1 species